rnacentral:rRNA from 1 species
CCUACGGGAGGCAGCAGUGAGGAAUAUUGGUCAAUGGGCGCUAGCCUGAACCAGCCAAGUAGCGUGAAGGAUGACGGACCUAUGGGUUGUAAACUGCUUUUAUAGGGGAAUAAAGUGCAGUAAGUGUACUGCUUUGCAUGUACCGUAUGAAUAAGGAACGGCUAACUCCGUGCCAGCAGCCGCGGUAAUACGGAGGUGUCGGGCGUUAUCCGGAUUUAUUGGGUUUAAAGGGAGCGUAGGCGGCUUGUGAAGCGUGUUGUGAAAGGUGGGGGCUCAACCCUAGGAUUGCAUUGGAGACUGGCAGGCUUGAGUGCAGGAGAGGUAAGCGGAAUUCGUGGUGUAGCGGUGAAAUGCUUAGAUAUGACGAGGAACUCCGAUUGCGAAGGCAGCUUGCUGGACUGUAACUGACGCUGAUGCUCGAAAGUGUGGGUAUCAAACAGGAUUAGAUACCCGUGUAGUC